ensembl:lncRNA
CCUCACUCUCAGAGAAAUCAGUAGUACUGCUAGGUUUUACACAGUAAUAAUAUAUAUCUGCCUCACUCUCAGAGGAAUCAGUAGUACUGCUAGGUUUUACACAGUAAUAAUAUAUAUCUGCUAGGUUUUACACAGUAAUAAUAUAUAUCUGCCUCACUCUCAGAGAAAUCAGUAGUACUGCUAGGUUUUACACAGUAAUAAUAUAUAUCUGCCUCACUCUCAGAGGAAUCAGUAGUACUGCUAGGUUUAAUACAGUAAUAAUAUAUAUCUGCCUCACUCUCAGAGGAAUCAGUAGUACUGCUAGGUUUUAUACAGUAAUAAUAUAUAUCUUAUAGGUUUUACACAGUAAUAAUAUAUAUCUUAUAGGUUUUACACAGUAAUAAUAUAUAUCUUAUAGGUUUUACACAGUAAUAAUAUAUAUCUGCCUCACUCUCAGAGGAAUCAGUAGUACUGCUAGGUUUUACACAGUAAUAAUAUAUAUCUGUCUCACUCUCAGAGAAAUCAGUAGUACUGCUAGGUUUUACACAGUAAUAAUAUAUAUCUGCCUCACUCUCAGAGAAAUCAGUAGUACUGCUAGGUUUUACACAGUAAUAAUAUAUAUCUGCCUCACUCUCAGAGAAAUCAG